UACGUAGGGGGCGAGCGUUGUCCGGAUUCAUUGGGUUUAAAGGGUGCGUAGGCGGAAUGAUAAGUCAGUGGUGAAAUCCUGCAGCUUAACUGCAGAACUGCCAUUGAUACUGUCAAUCUUGAGUAUAUUUGAUGUGGGCGGAAUGUGUCAUGUAGCGGUGAAAUGCUUAGAUAUGACACAGAACACCGAUUGCGAAGGCAGCUCACAAAACUAUAACUGACGCUGAGGCACGAAAGCGUGGGUAUCAAACAGG
rnacentral:rRNA from 1 species